CGAGUCGCAAGCUCGCGAGAGUAAGCUAAUCUCUUAAAGCCGUUCUCAGUUCGGACUGUAGGCUGCAACUCGCCUACACGAAGUCGGAAUCGCUAGUAAUCGCGGAUCAGCAUGCCGCGGUGAAUACGUUCCCGGGCCUUGUACACACCGCCCGUCACACCAUGGGAGUCGGUAACACCCAAAGUUGGUAGUCUAACCGCAAGGAGGACGCCGCCUAAGGUGGGAUUGAUGACUGGGGUGAAGUCGUAACAAGGUACC
rnacentral:rRNA from 1 species